GACGAACCGUGUGAACGUUGUUCGGAAUCACUGGGCUUAAAGGGCGCGUAGGCGGGCGGCCGCGUCCGGGGUGAAAUCCCACGGCUCAACCGUGGAACGGCCUCGGAUACGGGCGGCCUCGAGGGGGGUAGGGGCAUCUGGAACUGUGAGUGGAGCGGUGAAAUGCGUUGAUAUUCACAGGAACUCCGGUGGCGAAGGCGAGGUGCUGGACCCCAUCUGACGCUGAGGCGCGAAAGCCAGGGGAGCGAACGGG
rnacentral:rRNA from 1 species